rnacentral:rRNA from 1 species
UUAACGCUGGCGGCGUGCCUAAUACAUGCAAGUCGAAUGGUAGUAGCAAUACAAACCAUGGCGAACGGGUGAGUAACACGUAGGCAACCUGACUUUAAGACGAGGAUAACCGUUGGAAACGACGGAUAAUACUGGAUAGGACAUCAGAAAGGGCAUCCUUAGAUGUUAAAGGUUAUUAUGCCACUUAGAGAGGGGCCUGCGGCGCAUUAGCUAGUUGGUGAGAUAACAGCCCACCAAGGCGAUGAUGCGUAGCCGGACUGAGAGGUUGAACGGCCACAAUGGAACUGAGAACGGUCCAUACUCCUACGGGAGGCAGCAGUAGGGAAUUUUCGGCAAUGGGCGCAAGCCUGACCGAGCAACGCCGCGUGAACGAAGAAGUUAUUCGUAAUGUAAAGUUCUUUUAUCUGGGAAAGAAAAAACAAAUUGACGGUACCAGAUGAAUAAGCUCCGGCUAACUACGUGCCAGCAGCCGC